rnacentral:lncRNA from 1 species
GAAGACCUGUAGUAAGGAAAUCUACUUUAAAUUAUUCUGAAAGUUUUUUAAUAAGCCUUCUCUUGCACUUUACAUUCAUGAUCAGUAUUCACAAAACACCUCACAAAACAAAACUCUUAUAAAAUAUAAAUAAAGCUGGAGUUCUGAGAUCAGAGUACCUUGAUUCAUAAGAAAUGAACAAAGCAAAACAAAACAAAACAAAAAACCCAAGUAUCUCAGAAGUCAUUAGUUAGAUUCUUGGCCAGUAAUUUAUCUACCUUUGAACUUCAAUAUGCUUCACGUAAAUGAUACCUACCUAACAUGGAAACUGUUAAAGAUUAAAUAAGAAUGAAGUUAAUUGUAAACUACAAAGAACUAAGCAAUUGGUUAGAAAAGGGGAAUGUUGAGAGAAAUCUUCAAAUUCUCACUCUGACAUUUACUAUGUAUAUGGCUUUAUGCAAAUAUCUUUCCAUCUCUGAAUCCAAAUACAAAUAUGACAUCCGGUGUGGUCUUGUACAUUUUAGCUAGUUUUUCCCGAAUUUCUGUCUUAGGCACUGUUGCCUUCCCGGGGUGAAGGACAUCAAUGACCAUUUGUUUCCUCUGAAGUAGUCGGUUGGUCAUGAACUUUCUAGUGCAGAUAGUUACUGUGUCGUUCAUGAUGGCGGCCUAUGCUUAGACAGCCGAGGAGGAAAAGCGAAAGAAAAUUUAUUACAAGGAUAUAGGGAUUUUUAAAAACUGUACUUUAAGUUCUGGGGUACAUGUGCAGAACAUGUAGGUUUGUUACAUAGGUAUACACGUGCCAUGGUGGUUGGCUGCAUCUAUCACCCAGUCUUUGGUAUUAGGGAUUUAUCCUCUGACAGACCCCAGUAUGUGAUGUUCCCCUCCCUGUGUCCAUGUGUUCUCAUUGUUCACUUGUGAGUGAGAAUAUGCAGUGUUUGGUUUUCUGCACUUGUAUUAGUUUGCUGAGAAUGAUGAUUUUAAGCUUCAUCCAUAUGCCUGCAAGGACAUGAACUCAUCCUUUAUUAUGGCUGCAUAGUAUUCCAUGGUGUAUACAUGCCACAUAUUCUUUAUCCAGUCUAUCAUUGAUGGGUAUUUGGGUUGGUUCCAAGUCUUUAUUAUUGUGAAUAGUGCUG